UAUCCAAAGGAUCCCGCCUUCGUCUUCGGGUUACUCUACCUGGGUUAGUUUAUGUGAACAGUGUCGACCACCCCUCUCGUCCAGUUGUUGCACCGCUAUAUCAUCGGUUAAUAAUUCACCGCCUUCUUCUUUAUCUCCAUUUUCGUCCAGACCUCCAACUCCACCGACAUAGGCAGCAGUGGAUGUGCCACCCACCUCCGCUACCGUUUCAUUCUCCCUCUGAUUCUUGCUUUCUUGCUUCAUGCGAUUAAUACCAAAAGGUCAUGGAAUCUAGCUAUUUGCGUGCGCCGACGCUGGAGAUGUGGCGAACUAUGCCGGUGAGGAUACACCGGUAGAACACGAUUGUUGACGGAUCGACACCGCCUUACUACUUCGUCAUCUAAGAAAAACUUUCUUUUCUACUGAAGAUCGUUUCCACAUUCAGUUCAUCGUUGGUGUCUUCUCUCAGUUGCGAUUGAAUCAGUAAGCUUAAGAAUCAUCGGAGUAAACCUCUUCCCUGUAUACCAUCGGUCCCCCAAAUUGGAAGUCCAGCUACAAAAUUGGAACACUAUAUGCAUAUAACAUGUUCGAUGAAAGUCCUUAAUGAAUUCUGGUAAAAAAAUUCGAUCAAACUUCUUAUCAACGGCCACUAAUUUAUUCCCUCCUUCACACCAGAACUUUCUACUCAGAUUUCUUCAACUGAAGCCAUUGAAUCACAAGUGGUAUUGCCAAAAUGUUGGGUGGCCUUGGGUUUGAAUUUACUGUUGAUCGCCUCUUACAUUAUGCAGUCUUACACUAAAAAACUUUUUUUCAUCUCUCUUCACAGCACAUGAAUUCUUGUAUAAAUUACAAUUGUUUACAUUCAGGGAAUUCUAAAAGGUUUUGACCAAGCAUCGAAUAUAAAUAUAAUUCUAACUUUGAAGCCAAUACUUUCCAAGGAAACAACACUCUUCCUUCAACUCAUCAUGGUUUGAAAACAAGAUUUCUUCAUUGCAUUUGUUUGUAGAAUCAAAUUGGGAAAAGUAUAAAGGGCUAGCAAGAGCUGCAGCCAUUAAUUCAAAAUACGAGAUCUUAGAAAACAUGAAGCAAAAAUCAUAAAGCAUACUUUAUUUGUGAAAGAUGGAAAUACAUUGACGAGUUCAAAUUCAAUACAUAAACAUGAGGCAUCGGAACAUCUUUACAUAUGAGGGUCUCAAGGGAUAUAUCUUUCCAUGCAUCUUCGACUUGCUUAUACAGCAAGUCAUGGACAUACUCCUCAGUGACAUCAUAUUGCUUCAUGUAACUUUCAACAAGAGAUGCAACAUGUACUCUUUCUUGCUCUUGCUGUGUUUUUAUUAACGAAAUUAAUUAGUCUAAACUACACCGGAUAUUUUGGCUGUUGAAUAAGGAUGUUAAUCUCGUUGUACAACAACAAUGUGAAUAAAAAUAGAGAUGCAUGUACCUUGUGAGACGCAAUGUCAUUUUUGAGUCUAAAAAUUACACAUGCAGCUUUGACAAUAGGAGGAUCCGUGAGAACCCAUUUGAACGACUCGUCAGAGACAAUAUCCCCCAUGCCAACAAAAGAUGCUGCGUGAUUGAAGUAGAUUGAACCCAAACUUUGAAAGUUGAAGUAAAGACUCAUUACAAGACGCUUGUUUUUGGUAGAAAGGAAUGUAGUGUAACGCCUCAAGUCUUGGCAACCUUCUCUGUAUAGGAUGCUUUAGUGUCUCCUGUAUAUGUAUUGAAAGAGUAGAGUUACACCGAACAGGAUCCUUUGCUAGUGUUUCAAGAUGAGUUUUUGUGAAAAGAAGAGCUUCG